rnacentral:rRNA from 1 species
CCUACGGGAGGCAGCAGUGGGGAAUCUUGCGCAAUGGGCGAAAGCCUGACGCAGCCAUGCCGCGUGAAUGAUGAAGGUCUUAGGAUUGUAAAAUUCUUUCACCGGUGAAGAUAAUGACGGUAACCGGAGAAGAAGCCCCGGCUAACUUCGUGCCAGCAGCCGCGGUAAUACGAAGGGGGCUAGCGUUGUUCGGAAUUACUGGGCGUAAAGCGCGCGUAGGCGGAUAGAUAAGUCAGAGGUGAAAUCCCGGGGCUCAACCCCGGAAUUGCCUUUGAUACUGUUUAUCUUGAGUGCAGAAGAGGUAAGUGGAAUUCCGAGUGUAGAGGUGAAAUUCGUAGAUAUUCGGAGGAACACCAGUGGCGAAGGCGGCUUGCUGGUCUGCAACUGACGCUGAGGCGCGAAAGCGUGGGGAGCAAACAGGAUUAGAUACCCCAGUAGUC